GUCCACGCCGUAAACGAUGAUAACUAGCUGUCCGGGCACAUGGUGCUUGGGUGGCGCAGCUAACGCAUUAAGUUAUCCGCCUGGGGAGUACGGUCGCAAGAUUAAAACUCAAAGGAAUUGACGGGGGCCUGCACAAGCGGUGGAGCAUGUGGUUUAAUUCGAAGCAACGCGCAGAACCUUACCAGCCUUUGACAUCCCGGUCGCGAUUACCAGAGAUGGUUUUCUUCAGUUCGGCUGGACCGGUGACAGGUGCUGCAUGGCUGUCGU
rnacentral:rRNA from 1 species